GUGAGGAAUAUUGGUCAAUGGACGAGAGUCUGAACCAGCCAAGUCGCGUGAAGGAAGACGGUUCUAUGAAUUGUAAACUUCUUUUGUGCAGGAAUAAAGUGGGUUACGUGUAACCUUUUGUAUGUACUGUACGAAUAAGGAUCGGCUAACUCCGUGCCAGCAGCCGCGGUAAUACGGAGGAUCCGAGCGUUAUCCGGAUUUAUUGGGUUUAAAGGGUGCGGAGGUGGAUUGAUAAGUCAGCGGUGAAAGUUUGCAGCUUAACUGUAAAAUUGCCGUUGAAACUGUCGGUCUUGAGUGCAAAUGAGGUAGGCGGAAUGUGUUGUGUAGCGGUGAAAUGCUUAGAUAUAACACAGAACACCAAUUGCGAAGGCAGCUUACUGGGAUACAACUGACGCUGAGGCACGAAAGCGUGGGGAGCAAACAGGAUUAGAUACCCCUGUAGUCC
rnacentral:rRNA from 1 species